UACGGGGGGGGCAAGCGUUGUUCGGAAUUACUGGGCGUAAAGCGUGCGCAGGCGGUUAUGUAAGACAGUUGUGAAAUCCCCGGGCUCAACCUGGGAACUGCAUCUGUGACUGCAUAGCUAGAGUACGGUAGAGGGGGAUGGAAUUCCGCGUGUAGCAGUGAAAUGCGUAGAUAUGCGGAGGAACACCGAUGGCGAAGGCAAUCCCCUGGACCUGUACUGACGCUCAUGCACGAAAGGCGUGGGGAGCAAACAGG
rnacentral:rRNA from 1 species